AGCGUUUCCACGCUAAACUGUUUGGAUUCGUGAUUAGGCAAACUAAGACUAAUUUAUUCCGAGAGGCAACUCAAGGUGGUCUCAAGUUCUGCAGCACCGCAUCAGUGUCCCCGAACCACUCACUGCCCAAAAAUCAUCUGCAGAUCAAAGGUAAUUUGCGCUUCGUAUGUGUGGGACAGUCCUCGCUCGUCUUGAGGAAAGCUGGCAGGAGCCGCACAUCCAGCCUUUUGGGAACCUGUCCACACACCCAGGCUGUUCUUCCCUGCGUUACGCUGCACAGAAUGAUCUGCACUCUAGCAGGGGAACUGGCUCUACGGACCGCUAAAGGAGCUUGCAGAUAUGGAGGUGCAGAACAGGAGCUGUCACAUGCUCAUUGACACACAGCAUGGAGCGAAUAAAAGCCCCAAAUCAGAAAGUCUACACACACACACAGCCUGGGAUCCUGGGUCCUAUUCAUCUGGGAAAGAAGAGAGUUGUGAAGCUGUCGAGCACAUAGACAGUGAACACAGAGGGGAACAGGUCAAGGCCACGGCUAGGACAGAGG